rnacentral:rRNA from 1 species
CAAAGAAUAUGGAUUAUUCUGGUUCAGAAUGAUUGCUAAAAGCUUUUAUAAUACAUAUAAGUCUAUUUAUUUUAUACUAUAAAAUAAAGGCAAACGGGUGAGUAAUUUUAAUAGAAUUUAGUGCAUAAUUUAGUUUGAAAAAAAUUUAAUUCUGAAUAAAUAAAAAAUUAAAUUGUUAUUUAAUAAGCUAUUAAAGUUUAGGUAGUUGGUAUGGUAAUAGUGUUCCAAGCCUUAGAUGCUUAACUGAUAUGAGAGUAUGUGUAGUCACAUUAGAACUGAGAUAAGGUUUAAACUUCUACGGAGGUCAGUAGUAGAGAAUAUUUGGACAAUGAACUUUUGUUUGAUCCAGAAAUGUUUUAUGAAUGAAGAAGGCAAUUGUUGUAAAGUUCUUUCGGAUAAUUAGGAUAAUGACAUUAAUUAUAGGUAAGAAGUCCUUACAAAUACCUGUGCCAGCAGUAGCGGUAAUACAGGAGGGGCAGGCAAUAUUCGUAGUUAUUGGGUGUAAAGGGUCUGUAGAUUGUUUUUUUUUAUAAUUAAUAAAGUCUAAAUUUAGUCAUUUAGAGCCAAUUAUUUACAUAAUUAAAACUUGAGUUAUUAAAGAAAAUAGUGGAAUUUCUAAUGGAAAUGUAUAAUUUGAGGAUAUUAGAAGGAAUAUUUAAAGUGAAAACAACUAUUUAUUAGUAUCUGACAUUAAUAGACGUAAGUGAGGGUAGCAAAUAAGAUUAGAGAACUUAGUAGUCUUCACUGUCAAUGAUGGUUAUUUAGUAUAAGAUUUUUCUUGUAUUUUAGUAAAAGCGUUAAAUAACUCACCUGGGGAGUACGGUCGCAAGAAAGAAACUCAAAGAUGAUGGCGGGGAUUAAUACAAACGGUGGAUUAUGCGUUUUAAUUAGAUACUACGCUAAAAACCUUACCAUUUUUUGAUAUCUUAUACUUUUUUUUAAAUAUAAAGAUACUCGUGUUGCAAGGCUGUCGUAAGUUCGUGUUGUAAAAUGUUCGGUUUGGUUCAAUAAACGAACGAAACCCUUGCUUUUUAAAGGCUAAAAAAGUAUAUAAAAGUAUUUAACGAUAAGUUAAAUGAAAAAGGAUGAUCGUCAAGUCAGUAUGACCGUUAUAAAUAGGGCUAAAUGUGUACUACAAGAGAAAAUACAAUAAGAUACAAAAGUGUAAACUGGAGUUAAACUUUAAAAUUUUCUAUUAUUCGGAUUAUUUUCUGAAACUCGAAAAUAUUAAGAAGAAAUCGUUAGUAAUCGUAAAUCAGCACGUUACGGUGAAUUUGUAACUUAAUCUUGUACAAACUGCCCGUCACGUUUUUGAAGUUGGUUUACGUAAAGAAAAUAAGCUAAUUAUUUUAAGUGUUUUAAUACUAAAAUAAUAGUUUUUUUUGUGUGUUGAAUUAAUAACGAAGAUGAAGUCGUAACAAGGUAACUGUAGGGGAACCUGUAGUUGGAGAAAAAUUUAU